AUUACCCAAUCCUGACACAGGGAGGUAGUGACAAGAAAUAACAAUACGGGGCUUAAGUCUUGUAAUUGGAAUGAUGGGAAUCUAAACCCCUUCCAGAGUAUCAAUUGGAGGGCAAGUCUGGUGCCAGCAGCCGCGGUAAUUCCAGCUCCAAUAGCGUAUAUUAAACUUGUUGCAGUUAAAAAGCUCGUAGUUGAACUUCUGCUGUCAGGUUUUCGUUCCUUUCGGGGUUUCGUCAACCUGGUGGCUUUUUUCUGGGUGAAUUUAGCUUCGGCUUAAUUUCCCAGUAUUUUACUUUGAGAAAAUUAGAGUGCUUCAAGCAGGCUUUUGCCGUGAAUACUUCAGCAUGGAAUAAUAAAGUAGGACUUUGGUUCUAUUUUGUUGGUUUCUGAACCAAAGUAAUGGUUAAUAGGAACAGUUGGGGGCAUUCGUAUUUAA
rnacentral:rRNA from 1 species